rnacentral:rRNA from 1 species
UACGAAGGGGGCUAGCGUUGCUCGGAAUUACUGGGCGUAAAGGGCGCGUAGGCGGCUCUGUUAGUCAGGCGUGAAAGCCCUGGGCUCAACCUGGGGACUGCGCUUGAUACGGCGGGGCUUGAGGGCAGGAGAGGCUCGCGGAAUUCCCAGUGUAGAGGUGAAAUUCGUAGAUAUUGGGAAGAACACCGGUGGCGAAGGCGGGCCAACUGGACCACAACUGACGCUGAGGCGCGAAAGCCAGGGGAGCGAACAGGG